rnacentral:rRNA from 1 species
AGAAUCAACGCUGGCGGCGUGCCUAACACAUGCAAGUCGAACGAGAAAGUGGAGCAAUCCAUGAGUAAAGUGGCGACCGGGUGAGUAACACGUGACUAACCUACCUUCAAGUGGGGGAUAACCUCGGGAAACCGGGGCUAAUACCGCAUAACAUCUUUGGAGUGGAAAUUCUGGAGAUCAAAGGAGCAAUUCGCUGGAAGAGGGGGUCGCGGCUGAUUAGCUAGUUGGCGGGUAAUGGCCCACCAAGGCUUUGAUCGGUA